AAGGCUCAGCUCAGAUUAUCCACACUUAUACUGUUUUUUUCCAGCAGUACUCCCUCCCCCCAACUAGUCACUAGCUGCCAUACAGUUAAGAUGACAGCGCUGCCCAAAUAGCAGAGGGUGGGCUACUACACAGAAACCUCUUUGAUAUAGGAGUUCCCUCAAGGGAAGCGGCGGUCACCUCCCAGCCACCAAACUCUUGUCAAUCUGGGAAUCAAGUUCAACAGGAAGCACCUCUCUGCACAGCCUGAACUGCGGCGGCGGGAGGAGCACACGGUGACCAACGCAGUGACCAACUCCGCCCUUGCAGUGCGAGCAGUCCCGCUCCGUACGGCCCCGGUUCUGCCUCUGCGCAGGGACGGACCCCCGGCGCUGCCAAAGGCAAAUGACCUUCAUCCCAGCAUUUUUCCAUGAUGAGGAAAAACCUUUGCCUGGAAUUGGAGAAGAGAAAAAACUGAAAUGAACAGCUCACUGUGACCAUGCAGCUUGAGUCACUUGAACCAUGUCAGAUGGGAGACUAUUCUUAGUGGUCUUUCUGUGCAGUCAGCUUAUCUUCCAAGGAGUAGCAAACCUUUUUUUUGGCAAGCAGAUCUGCAGAUACUGGCAGGAGUUUACUCUCUUUGGCUGACUUCUUCCAAGACUCAAGAAUGUGAUCUGGAUCUGAAGCAUUGGAGCUUCCUCCUGAAGUGAUAUACAUGGUUUUUAAUGCACUGCUGAAACCUGAAUAAACUGU